ensembl:lncRNA
CCGGGUUUGGUUGCUCUGAAAAAUUUUUCUGUUGCGCACAAAAAAAACCAGGAGGCGGCAAGAAGGAGAAACAACUGUGGGAGAGAUAUGCUGUUCAUGGUCAGGUUUUUGAGUUGGCUUCCAAUACCAGAUUACAAUAUUGUGAGAACUGAAGUCUCUUGAACUCUGCUGGGGAUUCCUGGAAGACAUUUUGAAGAACUCCAUUAAUGGAUGGCCAGCCACUGCCCCAAAGAACCUACCUACAGGCGUGACGUGAGAUAGGCGCAGUGAGAGAGAGAGACAGGAAACAGGGGAGAAGAGUCGGGGGAAGACAUGCAGCAAAGGGCCGCGAGCGGGAAUCGAACCCGGGCCAACUGCGUCAGGGACCAGCCCCUGUACAUAGGUCACCCACUCAACGCGUUGAGCUAUACGGGCACCCUAAUUCUUCAUCUUUUUGUGGUAAGUUCACAUGGAGUCCAGAAAUCUCACUCGAGGUAACUUUACUCUCC